rnacentral:rRNA from 1 species
CCCUUAGAUGUUCUGGGCCGCACGCGUGCUACACUGAGUGGAUCAGCGGGUCAGGUUGCGCGAAAGUGUUUCCUAAUCUUGAAAUCCGCUCGUGAUGGGGAUUGACGGUUGCAAUUUUCCGUCAUGAACGAGGAAUACCUUGUAAGCGCGGGUCACCAUCCCGCGCUGAAUACGUCCCUGCCUUUUGUACACACCGCCCGUCGCACCUACCGAUUGAAUGGUCCGGUGAAAUCUUUGGACUGUGGCAUUGUGGAUCUUCGGAUUUACGUUGCUGUGGGAAGUUGAUUAAACCUUACCAUUUAGAGGAAGGUGGAGUCGUAACA